UCAGCGAGGGAGAGGGUGAGAACUAGAGAGAGUGAGUCCAGAGGCUUCGAAAGAACCUCCUCGCAGCACUGUUGCCUUCUCCGUUUUAUAGUAGAGCGCGGCGUGGUGCCGUCAUUAAUGGUGCAGACAACUGGGGGAGUUGUCAAAUCACCGGAGGCUGUCAGAGUCGUCGCGGAUUGUCAAGUCGUCGUGGGUUGUCAAAUCGCUGGAAUUAAUCUAUACCCUUGGCAGGACAAUGUCCCAGGGCGGCUAUGCCGCAUGCCUUUGUCAGGACGGCGGCCCUCAGCAGUCGUAUGGCGUUUGAGGGAGCCGACCGGCCAUACGUUGGCAUUUGGUUGUAGGAUGUCGGGUGAAGACCCAGGGACCCUCCGACGGUCAGUCUGACACGUUGCGGGAGUCGGAGAUCGGGCUCCGUUGUUCGGUCAGUCGGGAAUGGAAAGGGUUUGCCCGACCGAUAUAUCUUCGGUCGGAUAGUGUCGGCAGUCGUCGGUCGGUAGAGUCGGGCGUCGGUCAGACGGGCCCGACGGUGAGUCGGCGUGAGAGAGACCGGUCGGUAUAUCCCAACACAGCUAAUUCAUAUGCUUUCCUUAUCCAAAAGUGAUUUGUUUGUUUAAUAACUAUGUAGGAGUCGUGCUAAGGACAAUGAUUUCGUUUGUUUGGUUGAUAACUUCACAACUGUGAUCUGACUCUAAAGGAAAACCACAAAGGGUAAUUUUGGUUAGUCCCAUCGGACUUACGAUAUUUUGCUUGGAUGAGCCAUGGCCAUGAUAAUUAGUUCAUUUUGGAAUAUCCUAAGCAGAUUUUGUUUAUAGAAAGCUUUGACAGCAUAAGGAUGUUGUAUUGGCAAAGGUGUAUUAAAAUCCAUAGAUUGAUUUGAAGCUAGCGUGCUUUUUAUAUAUAAUUAUGAGAAUCCUGUAAGGCUAGCACUUGGCUUUCCUAAGCUGAUUGCAAAACUGAAUUACCAAGCCCACUAGCAUCGAUGGUCCGCAUGAUUCUAAGUCUCUUUACAGUGUCUAAGAACAUUCUGUGUUUAAAACCCAAAUUAGAAUCGGAGAAUUGCAUAAUGGGCGUUGGCAUUUGAUAGGAACACCGCACAUCCACAUCCUGUUUUUCAUGAGGUUUAACAAUGAAGCGGACUGACAUAAUGGGCAUAUCAAGGUAGGAGAGCUUGAGAUUAUAUUCGAGAGCUUUGGCACUCGUGUUAAUGCAAUAGACUGAAAAAUGAAGCUCGUUAGCUAAUGAGAUCAAUACCACAUGUGUUCCUGUUUAUUGCUGGAUAGGUAUUGUACAAAGGCACAACAUUGCCCUCCUUUUGUUGCCGUCAUGCUGUCACCUGAUAUGAAGCUUCACAAUUGAGUGGUGCCGUGGAGAACGGCUGGAUGAUUCUGAUAUCCAGCAUAUGUGAAAAAGCAUUGCGCAUGUUUGGAAAAUGGGAUAGGGAACACAGGGCUAUGAGAUGCAUCUGAUUAAAUUUUGUUUUCUUUUGGACAUUUAAGUAACUUAAAUGAUGUGAAAGUUUUAGCUUUCUGAAAGCUUUAAAUUUCAACUAUUAAAUUUUGGGGAUCAUGAGUUCAAGUGCAAGGAAGUGGUCAUUGAAGUGCUGGGUUGUCUAUUUACCUAUGUAGAGAACUCUACCAUCAGAAGUAAUUCUAGUGGCACCAGAAUGCUUACUAAAUAAAAGGCACUGGAUGCUUUUAUUGAUUUUAUAAGAGAGAGCUCUUUCUUGUGGCAUGAAGACUUGUUCAAGGAUUGAAAGAAAUGGCUUUGUAACUCCUUGUUCCAAAUUUGCUUUUUGAUGGAUCUUUGUUUUUAUUAUAGAGCUACCUUUGUCCACAGAUUCCAGGUUGCCCUUUCAGUUUUAUGUGCUAUACAUCAAAUAUGAGAUGAAUAUUAAGGGAAAGAUUUUAUAGAGGGAGAGAGAAGAGGAAGAGAAAGGAGGAAUGGGAGGAAAUCCUAAUUUAUUACCCAAACAUAGGAUAGAAUUAGUUACAUGAGAUUUUUCUCUCAAUAGGAUUUUAGGUAUAAUCCUAUAGGAUCAAAACCCACAUUCCUUCAUGAAUUUUACCCUAAGGUUAUAAAUUCCAAGCACCCAAACAGGCCCUUAGGCGUUGUUUGUGAUGAUCCUAUAGGAUCCGAAGGUGUGGGCCAGGAGAGCAGGAGAGGGAGAGAGUGGAGGUCACCCUAUCUGCAACUCCGUAUUCCGUAUUCUCUCCCACUCUCUCACCUGUUUUCUCCCUUCGUCACCCCCUCAUUCUCUUUCUGGUUCAUCUAUCUGGAUCCCAUGGGAUCGUCCCAAACAAGGCCUAAAACUAUGUCUGUUCUCUGAACAUGCUGAUAAAGUAUUGCUUUCGAGAUAUUAUUGCAUCAUAUUCAUCAAUAUAUUACUGGCCUAUAUAAUUGCUCAGGAGUGUGAUUUUAUUAGCAAUAAAUUCCUGGUAAUAUGAAUAUUGUAUCACAGUUGGUUCAUAUUACCUACUAUUGUGAGAGAAGUAAUUAUUUUUGCAACUGUUCCUUUGUCUUGUUCACUAAUUAUUGUAAUAGCUGAGUUUGCUAAGUUGCUAUGUUGUUCGACAUGACAAGUUGCAAACGCAAAUGACUUUUAUUUGAGACUGAAACUGCAUGCACAUAAACAUAUCAUAUCUAUCUUUGUUUGUAUCAUAAUUUUUCUGCGGGAUGCAUUCUCUAUUAUUUUCAAUAAUGAAAUUAUGAGCUACCGCAUGCAUCUGCUCGUGUAUUUGGCAUCUUCUAUUGUAACUUUCCUUUUAAUUUUCUGCUUUUCUAUUGUAAUAUUCUGUCUGUCUUUGGGAUAAACAAAAAAUAGUAAUAUAUUAGUUGAUUAGAUAGAGAUACUCAUAUAACCAAUAUAUGUGUGUGUGUGUGUGUGUGUGUGUGUGUGUGUGUGUAUUUAUAUUUAUAUUUAUAUAUGUAUACAGACAUACAUACAUGUAUAUAGCUGACAUAAACUACCCAGACUACAUGCUACUGGCCUUGAGUCAAUUCUCAGUACUGUGGUGCAACUCAACUUUGGGCAGGAGAAUGGAUUCUCAUGAAACUUAUAUGAUGAGCCAAGAGGGCAAAAUAAUCUUAUUGUUCACUAGAUUAAGCUCAUAUAUUUUCUAGAAUGGUCCUCCAAAUUUCUCCUAGAGUUGGAAACACUCCAGACAAAUAACAAAGAGGUCAAGCUACAACUACCUCAAAAGAAGAAAUCGUCACUCUUCUGAUGAUUGGCUGCGUAGAUUACCAGAACUUGCAAGGCGGUUGGAGGAGCGCAUAUUCAAGGAUUCUGCGAGAAAGGAAGAUUAUAUGAGUGUGGUGAUGGAGCCGGUUGAGCGCCGUUUGCAACGGAUAAUGAAGAGUUUACCAAACCACAGCCGAUCUGUCUCAUAAUAUUGCAUAUUCCUCCUCUCUCAGUCCAAUGAUUCCGACACCUGGUAUAUCCCAUGAUGGCAGCACAAGUUCUGUAGCUUCUUGUUCAACAGAAAACUCUGCUACUGCAGCCAGUGGUCCUGGUAUGGGGAUUCAAACCACGGCCAACAUGGGCAACUUAUUCCCAACUGGAAACAACUUAACUGAUGUUGGACAUAGUGUCUCCUUCAAUGCAUCCAAUGGACCGCUAUCUAAUGGGUACCAGCACCAACCUGCCAAUGGUGCUCUUGGGUCUAGCAGGAGUAACAUAUCAAUAGCUUCAAUGGGUAUGACUAGAGCUGUCAAGACAGGCCAGUCCGUUCCGAUCUGUCACAACCCACCUCUAAAUAGGACGGGACAGAUUAUCUUGGUGGGUUGGGAAAACUCCAACCCAAUCCAACCCACCAUGGGCUACAGAUUAAACGACCCAAUCUAUCAAAAUUU